GGGAAGUUGGUGAAGCUGGUGCUCACGUGCUGCUGAAGACGGCGAGAAGGCGGUUCAAUUCCGUCACUUCCCAC
rnacentral:tRNA from 1 species